GAGUAAUGUCUGGGAAACUGCCUGAUGGAGGGGGAUAACUACUGGAAACGGUGGCUAAUACCGCAUAACGUCGCAAGACCAAAGAGGGGGACCUUCGGGCCUCUUGCCAUCAGAUGUGCCCAGAUGGGAUUAGCUUGUUGGUGAGGUAACGGCUCACCAAGGCGACGAUCCCUAGCUGGUCUGAGAGGAUGACCAGCCACACUGGAACUGAGACACGGUCCAGACUCCUACGGGAGGCAGCAGUGGGGAAUAUUGCACAAUGGGCGCAAGCCUGAUGCAGCCAUGCCGCGUGUAUGAAGAAGGCCUUCGGGUUGUAAAGUACUUUCAGCGGGGAGGAAGGUGUUGUGGUUAAUAACCGCAGCAAUUGACGUUACCCGCAGAAGAAGCACCGGCUAACUCCGUGCCAGCAGCCGCGGUAAUACGGAGGGUGCAAGCGUUAAUCGGAAUUACUGGGCGUAAAGCGCACGCAGGCGGUCUGUCAAGUCGGAUGUGAAAUCCCCGGGCUCAACCUGGGAACUGCAUUCGAAACUGGCAGGCUUGAGUCUUGUA
rnacentral:rRNA from 1 species